UAGUAGGAUAAAUUCUGAUUAAAUAGGUUGGUAAGUGAAAUUAGUAGGAUAAAUUCUGAUUAAAUAGGUUGGUAAGUGAAAUUAGUAGGAUAAAUUCUGAUUAAAUAGGUUGGUAAGUGAAAUUAGUAGGAUAAAUUCUGAUUAAAUAGGUUGGUAAGUGAAAUUAGUAGGAUAAAUUCUGAUUAAAUAGGUUGGUAAGUGAAAUUAGUAGGAUAAAUUCUGAUUAAAUAGGUUGGUAAGUGAAAUUAGUAGGAUAAAUUCUGAUUAAAUAGGUUGGUAAGUGAAAUUAGUAGGAUAAAUUCUGAUUAAAUAGGUUGGUAAGUGAAAUUAGUAGGAUAAAAAUAAGCUAAUUUAAGCUAUUGGGUUCAUACCCCAAUUAUAAAGGUUAAUUCCUUUUUUUUAUAAUUAUUAAUUAUAUUUAUAAAAUAUUUUUUAUUUUUAUAUUAUUUAUUGGAACAAUUAUAACAAUUUCUUCUUCUUCUUGAUUAGGAAUAUGAAUGGGAUUAGAAAUAAAUUUAAUGUCUUUUAUUCCUUUAAUUUCUGAAAAAAAUAAUUUAAAUUCAACUGAAAUAUCUAUUAAGUAUUUUUUAGUACAAGCAUUAGCUUCAAUAGUUUUUUUAUUUGUUUCUAUUAUAUAUAUAUUAAAAUUUUCAAAUUUUAAUUAUAUUUUUUAAGAUAUGAAUCAAUUUUAUUAAUUUUUUCAAUAAUAAUAAAAUUAGGUGCGGCUCCUUUCCAUUUUUGAUUUCCUAAUAUUAUUGAAGGUUUAUCAUGAAUAAAUUCUUUAUUAUUAUUAACUUGACAGAAAUUAGCUCCUUUAACUAUUGUUUCUUAUUUUUCUUUUUUAAAUCAAUUAAUUAUUUUUAUUUUAUUAUCAUGUUUUGUAGGAGCUGUAGGAGGUUUAAAUCAAACUUCUUUACAAAAAUUGUUAAGUUUUUCUUCUAUUAAUCAUAUUAGUUGGUUAUUAAUAGCAAUAACUUAUAGAAAUUAUUUAUGGUUGUUGUAUUUUUUUAUUUAUUUUAUUUUAAAUUUAUGUUUAAUUAUAAUUUUUAAAAAUUUUAAUCUUUUCAAUUUUAAUCAGUUAUAUAUAUUUAAAAAUAAUGGAAUUAAUAGAAAUUUGUUAAAAAUUUUAUUUAUAAUAAAUUUUUUUUCUUUUCAGGUGGUUUACCCCCAUUUUUAGGGUUUUUACCAAAAUGAAUAGUAAUUGAAUUUUUAUUAAUAGAUAAAAUAUUUUUUUUAAUUUUAUUUUUAGUAAUGAUAUCAUUAUUAACAUUAUUUUUUUAUAUGCGAUUAACUUUAACUUCAUUUGUUAUAUUUUAUCCUUCUAUAAAAUGAAAUUUUUUAAAUUUUAAAAAAAAUAAAAUAAUAAAAUUAAUUAUUUUUUUUAAUAUUGUAAGUUUAUAUUUUUUUUUAAUUUUUUUAUUAAAUAAUUAUAUAUUUUAAAAUAG